rnacentral:rRNA from 1 species
GUAGGGGGCAAGCGUUGUCCGGAUUUAUUGGGCGUAAAGAGCGUGUAGGCGGCCACACAGGUCUGCUGUGAAAACUCGAGGCUCAACCUCGAGCUGUCGGUGGAAACCGUGUGGCUAGAGUCCGGAAGAGGAGAGUGGAAUUCCCGGUGUAGCGGUGAAAUGCGCAGAUAUCGGGAAGAACACCCGUGGCGAAGGCGGCUCUCUGGGACGGUACUGACGCUGAGACGCGAAAGCGUGGGGAGCGAACAGGAUUAGAUACCCUGGUAGUCCACGCCGUAAACGAUGGGUGCUAGGUGUGGGGGGUGUCGACUCCCUCCGUGCCGAAGCUAACGCAUUAAGCACCCCGCCUGGGGAGUACGGCCGCAAGGCUA